rnacentral:rRNA from 1 species
UACGUAGGGGGCAAGCGUUGUCCGGAAUUAUUGGGCGUAAAGAGCUCGUAGGCGGCCAGUUGCGUCCGCUGUGAAAUCCCGGGGCUUAACCCCGGGCGUGCAGUGGAUACGGGCUGGCUAGAGGCAGGCAGGGGAGAACGGAAUUCCCGGUGUAGCGGUGAAAUGCGCAGAUAUCGGGAGGAACACCGGUGGCGAAGGCGGUUCUCUGGGCAGUAACUGACGCUGAGGAGCGAAAGCGUGGGGAGCGAACAGG